rnacentral:rRNA from 1 species
ACGGGUGAGUAACACGUAGGAAUCUAUCCCAGGGUGGGGGACAACAGUGGGAAACUACUGCUAAUACCGCAUAACAUGACGAUGGCACAUGCUGUUGUCUUCAAAGGCGCAAGUCGCCAGAAGAGGGAUCCGCGGCCGAUUAGCUUGUUGGCGAGGUAAUGGCUCACCAAGGCAUUGAUCGGUAGCCGGACUGAGAGGUUGGCCGGCCACACUGGAACUGAGACACGGUCCAGACUCCUACGGGAGGCAGCAGUGGGGAAUUUUGCACAAUGGACGAAAGUCUGAUGCAGCAACGCCGCGUGGGGGAUGAAGCUUUUCGGAGUGUAAACCCCUUUCGACCCGGAAGAAUGCCCGCAAGGGUUUGACGGUACCGGGUAUAAGAAGCCCCGGUAACUACGUGCCAGCAGCCGCGGUAAUACGUAGGGGGCCAGCGUUGCUCGGAAUUACUGGGCGUAAAGGGUCUGUAGGC